rnacentral:rRNA from 1 species
UUCCAGACUCCUACGGGAGGCAGCAGUGGGGAAUAUUGCACAAUGGGGGAAACCCUGAUGCAGCAACGCCGCGUGGGUGAAGGAGCGUUUCGGCGCGUAAAGCCCUGUCAGCGGGGAAGAAGAAAGACGGUACCCGACCAAGAAGCCCCGGCUAACUACGUGCCAGCAGCCGCGGUAAUACGUAGGGGGCGAGCGUUAUCCGGAAUUACUGGGUGUAAAGGGAGCGUAGACGGCGAGGUAAGCCUGGAGUGAAAGCCCGGGGCCCAACCCCGGGACUGCUCUGGGAACUGUGCGGCUGGAGUGCGGGAGGGGCAGGCGGAAUUCCUGGUGUAGCGGUGAAAUGCGUAGAUAUCAGGAGGAACACCGGCGGCGAAGGCGGCCUGCUGGACCGCGACUGACGUUGAGGCUCGAAAGCGUGGGGAGCAAACAGGAUUAGAUACCCCUGUA